rnacentral:rRNA from 1 species
GAUGAACGCUGGCGGCGUGCCUAAUACAUGCAAGUCGAGCGAACAGACGAGGAGCUUGCUCCUCUGACGUUAGCGGCGGGCGGGUGAGUAACACGUGGAUAACCUACCUAUAAGACUGGGAUAACUUCGGGAAACCGGAGCUAAUACCGGAGAAGAUAUUGAACCGCAUGGUGCAAUAGUGAAAGACGGUGGUGGUGGCACUAAUAGAGGGAUCCGCGCCGGAUUAGCUAGUUGGUAAGGUAACGGCUUACCAAGGCAACGAUGCGUAGCCGACGUGUGAGGCUGAUCGCCCACACUGGAACUGAGCCACGGUCCAGACUCCUACGGGAGGCAGCAGUAGGGAAUCGUCCGCAAUGGGCGAAAGCCUGACGGAGCAACGCCGCGUGAGUGAUGAAGGCCUUCGGAUCGUAAAACUCUGUUAUUAGGGAAGAACAAAUGUGUAAGUAAAUAUGCCCGUCUUGACGGUACCUAAUCAGAAAGCCACGGCUAACUACGUG